AGUUGAUAGAGCUGGCUCAGUUGGUAGAGCAAGAGACCCUUAAUCUCAGUGCUGUGGGUUCGAGCCCCACAUUGGCCC